GGAAUAUAAGAACCCGUCUAUUAACUUUUAACUAAAAAGCUAAGAACCGGCUCUUAAAUAAGAGUUUUAAGAGCCGGUUAUUAGCUUUUUUAGUUAAAAGUUAAGAGACGGGUUCUUAUAUUCC
rfam:Brassica oleracea var. oleracea cultivar TO1000 chromosome C3, whole genome shotgun sequence